GCCUGCGGAGGGAUCAUUACUGAGUUUACGCUCUAUAACCCUUUGUGAACAUACCUAUAACUGUUGCUUCGGCGGGUAGGGUCUCCGCGACCCUCCCGGCCUCCCGCCUCCGGGCGGGUCGGCGCCCGCCGGAGGAUAACCAAACUCUGAUUUAACGACGUUUCUUCUGAGUGGUACAAGCAAAUAAUCAAAACUUUUAACAACGGAUCUCUUGGUUCUGGCAUCGAUGAAGAACGCAGCGAAAUGCGAUAAGUAAUGUGAAUUGCAGAAUUCAGUGAAUCAUCGAAUCUUUGAACGCACAUUGCGCCCGCCAGCAUUCUGGCGGGCAUGCCUGUUCGAGCGUCAUUUCAACCCUCAAGCUCUGCUUGGUGUUGGGGCCCUACAGCUGAUGUAGGCCCUCAAAGGUAGUGGCGGACCCUCCCGGAGCCUCCUUUGCGUAGUAACUUUACGUCUCGCACUGGGAUCCGGAGGGACUCUUGCCGUAAAACCCCCCAAUUUCCAAAGGUGACCUCGGAUCAGGUAGAAUCCCCAAAUU
rnacentral:rRNA from 1 species